UCCUCAGACAACUCAGACUUCCACCUACCUCAGAGGUUGCUCAAGAACUUCUACUCAUGCACCAUCCAGAGCAUCCUGAUGGGAAAUAUCUGCACCUAGUAUUGGAACAGCACCAAGGAGGAAAGACGAGCUUUCCAAAUAGUGGUGCACUUUGCCAAAUGCAUCAUUCGACAAAUGGAAGUUAAAGAAAUGCUGCUGGUUAAAACCUAGUGCAGCUAAUGGCUAAAGUAUUAAGUCUCUGGGAACAUGUGACCAGCAAUAUUCUGUAGACCUUGCUGAAUCACGUAUAAAUAGUGUAACAUAUCCUGUCACGUAUCUUGUCAUUACAGGCCAGCCCACACCAGGUGCUCUCUGUAUUGCUCACUCCCAAGACCUGACUCCAGGACGUGCAGGAGAAAUGACAUCUCUGAGCUGGCCUAGGAAUGCCUCAGUGGAAAGAAAAAGAUGCUGAAAUGAGCCACUUUUGAGCUGAAGAGAAAGAAGAUGAAGCUCCAUGUGACUUCAUCACUUCUGGAUGUUGUACAGCACCGGGUCUAUAUGAUGCACUGAUUUCAUCAUCCACUCCACAAGGCUGCCGAUCCAAAGCGCCUGACAGCAGCUCAGUGUGCCUUUGUCCUGACUCACCCCGAGUCAGACACAGCAGAUGGCCUCCCCACCACGGGCCUGGGGUUCUUGCUGGGGUUUCUUCCUUCCCAUUGCUGCCAAAGAGCCUGCUCAUAGUGGGGAAACCUGAUUGUUGAAGGUUUUCUCUGCAUCAUUGUAGGGUUUUUACCUUACAAUAAAAUGAGCCUUUAGGCAACUGUUGAGUUCAGGCUGUAUAAAAAACACAAUUAAACUGAGCUGACCUUUGACCUCCCAGUAAACCUCUCAGGUCCACACGGCACUUGUUUAAACUGCUCAGCACUCUCACACAGCCUCCUGUCAUGUAGCUUCUCCCCAACACAUUUCACAACUUGGCUCACUUAGAUUUUUCCCACGUAAAUUAAUGAUAAUAAAAUAUUAUGAACAAUAUAAUAAUGUUAUGGACACUGGAGUGUUCUGUGGCUACAGCACCACCAAACAAAAAGUGAUGAUCAGAAUAUGUUUGUUAAUAUUAGCACCUUGUGUUACGUCUUAUUGCCAGCUUCAGUUACACGGGGCAGAAAUCUAUUUAGG